GCUGGGCAUGGUGGCGCAUGCCUGUAAUCCCAACUACUUGGGAGGCUGAGGCAGGAGAAUCGCUUGAACCCAGGAGGCAGAGGUUGCAGUGAGCCAAGAUGCCACUGCACUCCAGCCUGGGCGACAAGAGCGAGACUCGGUCUCAA
rnacentral:SRP_RNA from 2 species